GCCCAGAUGAUCAUCGGUGGUCCGUUGUCCGGGCUUCAAACCCGUAGCUGAUGAGGAGUUUGAGUGGUUCGAUUCCACGUUCUGGGCG